rnacentral:rRNA from 1 species
AGUGAACGCUGGCGGCAGGCCUAAUACAUGCAAGUCGAACGGCAGCACGGCAGAGCUUGCUCUGUGGGUGGCGAGUGGCGGACGGGUGAGGAAUACAUGGGAAUCUGCCCAGUCGUGGGGGAUAACGUAGGGAAACUUACGCUAAUACCGCAUGCGCCCUUCGGGGGAAAGCCGGGGACCUUCGGGCCUGGCGCGAUUGGAUAAGCCCAUGUCGGAUUAGCUAGUUGGCGGGGUAAUGGCCCACCAAGGCGACGAUCCGUAGCUGGUCUGAGAGGAUGAUCAGCCACACUGGAACUGAGACACGGUCCAGACACCUACGGGAGGCAGCAGUAGGGAAUAUUGGACAAUGGGCGCAAGCCUGAUCCAGCCAUGCCGCGUGAGUGAAGAAGGCCCUCGGGUUGUAAAGCUCUUUUGUCCGGAAAGAAAAGCGCCGGGUUAAUACCCUGGUGUCCUGACGGUACCGGAAGAAUAAGCACCGGCUAACUUCGUGCCAGCAGCCGCGGUAA